rnacentral:rRNA from 1 species
UACGUAGGGAGCAAGCGUUGUCCGGAAUCAUUGGGCGUAAAGCGCGCGUAGGUGGCUUCGUAAGUCCGUUGUGAAAGUCAAAGGCUCAACCUUUGAAAGCCGAUGGAUACUGUGAAGCUAGAGUACGGAAGAGGCGAGUGGAAUUCCUGGUGUAGCGGUGGAAUGCGCAGAUAUCUGGAGGAACACCGGUGGCGAAGGCGGCAUCCCGGACCGGUAUUGACGCUGAGGCGCGAAAGCUAGGGGAGCAAACGGG